AUGGGCGACUCAUCCUCGGCUUCCUACAUCAGAAUGGUGCACCAUCUGAUAGAGAAGUGCAUUUGCUUCAACCUCAACAAGGAGGGGUGCAUGGAGGCCCUGGAGAAGCAUGCCAAGAUCAACCCGGUCGUCACUGCCACUGUGUGGAAAGAGCUGGAGAAGGAGAACAAGGAGUUCUUCGAGUCUUACAACAGGGACCGCGUGGAGCGGAACAUCGAGGCGGCGACGAUGGAGCGGAUCCAGAAGAUGCUCUCCGACGCGGCUGCCUCCAAGACCUCCGACGACGAUGAGGGCUAG
rnacentral:rRNA from 1 species